GCUAUUUUGGCAGAAAAAAUGUGAUGAUUUUAGAAUUCAUUAAUAUAUAAAAUUUAAUACAAUAUAUAAAUAGUA
rnacentral:tRNA from 1 species